AUCCACUUCGGGAAAGACGUAUUCCUGGUCGUAAUGUUGGACCUGAAGCGAGGCGACCAUCUGUCGGCGCCAGCUGAUUCUCCUCAGAGACAUGGAGGAAGAGGAAGGGGACAAUGCUGUGAAGGCAUGCUGUGAGUGUGACACACCAAUACUACUGAAGGAGCAGCUGGGGACUCUGAUGGAGGAGUGCGAGAUAUCUCAGAGUUGGGGACACAGUCUGGGUCUGAGGACAGGAGACACAUUGUCCAGGGACACCUCUGAUAUAGAGAUC